UACGGGGGGAGCAAGCGUUGUUCGGAUUUACUGGGCGUAAAGGGCGCGUAGGCGGUCAGCACAAGUCAGUUGUGAAAUCUCCGGGCUUAACUCGGAAAGGUCAACUGAUACUGUGCGACUAGAGUGCGGAAGGGGCAACUGGAAUUCUCGGUGUAGCGGUGAAAUGCGUAGAUAUCGAGAGGAACACCUGCGGCGAAGGCGGGUUGCUGGGCCGACACUGACGCUGAUGCGCGAAAGCCAGGGAGCGAACGGG
rnacentral:rRNA from 1 species